CCUUUCCUCCCUUCCCUUCACAGGUUGCCCCAUAGUGACCCUGGAGACUCCCGCCUGCCCCCAGUGAAGGAAUUGGUUACUCUCCCAGAGCCCUCCCGGGCAUCGCCCCCUUCCUCACUUCCUCCUCUUCCUGCCCCCAGCCUCUACCCCUCCAGCCUCCUGUGGCUUCACAGGCAAGUGCCGCAUCCCAGGAAGAAGGAGUUGGAGCUCCGUGAUGCCAUUCAAAAACAGAUGAGAUGGGGACAGAUUUAACCCAAAGGACAUAGUUCAACUCCUGGUCUUGACAGAGGAGAAGCCCUCAAAGCCUACUCAAUGUGAAGACAAUAAGGAUGAAGACCAUUAAUGAUGUUCUGCUUCCACUUAAUGAAUAAUAAAUAUAUUUUCUCUUCUUUAUGAUUUUCUUAAUAACAUUUCUCAAGUCUAUUGUAAGAAUACAGUGUAUAAUACAUAUAAUGUACAAAACUUGUAUAAUCAACUGUUUCUGUUACCAAUAAGACAGUAGCCUAUUAGUAGUUAAGUUUUUGGGGGGUCAAAAGUUACAUGCCAAUUUUUG
rnacentral:lncRNA from 10 species